rnacentral:tRNA from 1 species
GUCUCAGUGGCAUAGUGGUUAAUGCACAGCCCCAGUUAGGCGCGAGACGCGGGUUCGAAUCCCGCCUGAGAUG